CAUGAAUAUUCAUGACAGCAUUAUUCGUAACAGUCAUAAACUGGAAACAAUCCAAAUGCCCAUCAGCAGGUGAAUGAUAAACGAACCGUGGUCUGUCCACACAAUGGGUGUUCUUCCGCAAUAAAAAGGAGUGCAAUAAUGAUGUAUACGAUAUAACGGAACUGAUGGAAGAAGCCAGACAAGUAAGAGCAAGUACUGUAUGAUUCUACUAGAUCAAUUCUAGAAAAGGAAAAUUAAUCAAUAGUAACAGAAAGCAGAUUAAUUGUUGCCUAGAGCAGGGGAGCGGGUGUGGUGGUGAGAAAUGGGAGGGACAGAUGACAAACGGGCGGAGGACACGUUUGAAGGCGACGGCUAUUGUUUGAGUCGCCAGGAGAACUCAUGUGUUGAAAUCCCACCCCUAGUGUGAUGGCGUUAGGAGGGGGGCCUUGGGAGGUGAUUAGGUCAUGAGGGUGGAGCCCUAUGAAUGAGAUUAGUGCCCUUUUAAAACAGACAUCAGAGAGCUCCCUUGCCCCUUCCGCCACGUGAGGACGCAGCCGUGAGAAGAUGCCCAUCCAGGAACCUGGACGCGGGCUCUCACCAGACAGCAGUCUGCCCGCUCCUUGAUCGGGGACAUUCCAGCCUCCAGAAAUGUGAGGAAUAAAUGUUUGUUCUUUAAGCCCCCAGCCUGUGGUGUUCUCGUGAGAGCAGCCAGAACGGACUCAGACGGAGCUGUUAAUUUCUUGACUGUGGCGGGGAUUUCACGGGUAAAUACGUGCGUCAGACUCAUCACAAUGGACACAUUACAUAUGCACAGUUCAUUGCACGCCAACUGCAACGCAAUAAAGCUGUUUCAAAUGGUCGCUACCUUGCAGGGUCUUGAGAGCCGUGAAAGACUGAAGCACCGUCUCUGAGGUGGAGGCAUCGCUGGAUCCAGCUCCUCAUCCGCUGUCCACGUCAGCAUGCUUUGCCAUGUCACUCUGCGUGCCCUCCCUCUGGGGAUGGGCAGCUGUCUCAGCCCUCGACAGAAGGCAUGCGGCUCCCCCAUGUGACUUGCUUUUGGGGGCGGGACGUCAGCAGAUGUGAAGCUAUGCGCUGUGGAUCAGGCUGUGCCCCAGGGCUGCCUUCUGAGUCUCUCAGGGCUGUUGCUGUGAGAACGCGCCCGGCCUGGCCUCCUAGAGGAUGAGAGAUACCUGGAGCAGAGCCACUUUGCUUUGGUCACCCCGGUCAAGGUCAGCCGACAUCGGCCAAUAACCGCGGAAUCUCCCAGACAUGUGAACAAGUCCAGCCAAGGCCAGGUGAGCUGCCUCGCCAACUCACAGCUGACCCAGAGAAUGGAGCAAUAAAUGUGCUUUGACAUUAGCCAAUGAGGUUCUAUGAUUUUUUGUUAGGUGGUGGCGAUAGACGACAGAUUCUCGCCCUAUCAGAAGGAACAGUCUGGGGUUAUCUGGGAAGGCUUCUUGGAGGAGUUCAGGGCCCCACACAGCCAGAGGGCCCGUGAUGUUGGGUGCAUCCGGAGAGAGGGCCAGAGUGUGAGGGGACAGAUGAGAAGCCAGGCCGUGGAGGUGCAGCUUCUCACUGAGCACCUGCUCCGUGUCUGACCUCAUGCUGAGACCUGGGAAGGGUGCUGGGAUGGAGACAGACGUGGUCCCCACCUUCCUGGGGCUGGUGUUCUGGUCAACAAGAUGGGGACGACCAUCAACUAAACAACAGGUGAAAUGGUGAUGCAGCGAGGGGCACGCAGUGAAGAGCACGGACCGGGGCCACACAGAACUUCGCCUCCUCACUCACUCUUCCCAACCAGCCUAUUUUUACGAGAAGCUCCUCUGAUGAGUUCAUUUUACAGCCAAGAAACCUGAGGCCCAGAGAGGCAGGUCACUAGCUCCAGCCACAUGCCUGGAAACUGCAGAGCCAGGAUGCAAGCCCACAGCUGGCAGACACGACAGCUGUGGCUUGUCCCCCUGCCAUCCCACCCCUCGCUCGGUGGAUGAGGAGCUCUCCGUGGGCGAGGGGGACUCUAGUCCACCUUGGGGACCAAAGAACGGCUGCUUCCCUGUGCAGGAGGGGCUGUGGGGUCACGUGGCCCCAGGUCGCAAUUCUGCCUCCUCCGCUCACUUGCUGCAUGGUUCUGAGUGUGUUUACUGAUUCUCUGCCUCAGUUUCCUCUUCUGUAAAAUGGGAACGAUAUUGUCCACUUUGGAUGGCUGCUAUGAAGAUCAAAUCAGAAAAAGAUAUAAAGUGCCCAGCGUAGUCUAAAGCAGAGAGUAGGUGUUAAAAAUGUUCUCUGAGCACACAGUAGGUAUUUUUAAAGUUUGUUCCAUUUAUUCGGAGAAGGGCCUAUUUCCCCCAUCUCAUUUCAGAAGGUUUUUUCUUAACCACACAUGCAGGUGGAGGGAAGAACCCGCUGCCCAGAGGUGGGAGGAGGCUGAGGCUCAAACCCCAUGCUGUGCGGCUCUGUCAGGCUACUGAGCUUCUCUGACCCUCGGUCUCCUCAUCUGUGAAACUGGAACAUGACCCCCCUUAGAGGGCUGUCGUGAGGGUUGAAUGUGGUGACGUAAGUUGAGGGCCAAGUGUGGAGUUGGCAUAGAGUGGGCACUAAAUACGCCAGCUGCUUUGUUUGGAGAAAGGGCUUCUGUUCUGUCUUUGAGCCCAGAGACUUUUCUGGGUUUUAAAUGUGUGGUGAGACAGGAAAAGCAAUGAGGCCAGAAGCUGGAGGAUGCCGUGACGGGACUCUUUCCUCUGCCUUAGGCUUGCUGUUCACCUUGGGCAAGUCACUGCCCCUCCCUGACCCUCUGUCUCCUCGUCUAUAAGACGGAAAAUGGUGCUUAUUCCUAAACUAGAAGCCUUGGCGGGACCCAGUGGCCCGCCCAGGACACCCUAAAAAGGAAGGCAGAAUGAGGGGUUCUCCCUGCCAGGCCGAGUGAGCAGCCCGGAUUGAUAUGUGGAGAACUAACAGGCUUAUUUGGGAUGCACGGAAGGCUGGAACACUUAAUUCCUGAACAUGUUUACGUAAAAUUAAUUGCAUCACCUGUUCUCUGCAUCUUUUAAUUGCAAAACCAAUUAAGUUUCUAACGCUCAGCUUGCAGCCCAGGGGAAAGAAGGGCAGAGGCGAGGUGGCCUUUGCAGGCUCUGCACUUUUUCGGUGGCCACAGUGGCCCUGCGAGAGCCCCAGCAGCCCCCUAUCUGCUGGCGGGGGAGACCCCGUGGGACGUUGGAGGAGCCCAGAAGACAGACACGAGACUUGGAGCAGCGGGUCUGCGGGGGUCCCGGGUGGCUGCCCUCACGGCGGGAGCUGAGGGUCCAGGUCAGGCAGAGGCAGGACGUUCCCCGGUGGGGGCCACAGUGGGUCCACAUCAACUCCCCCUCCA
rnacentral:lncRNA from 1 species